AUUGAACGCUGGCGGCAGGCCUAACACAUGCAAGUCGAACGAGAGGCGGACGGGUGAGUAAUGACUGGGAAACUGACCGAGGGAGGGGGAUAGCUAAUGGGAACGGUAGCUAAUUACGCCGAACAUAGGAUGGGUCCGGAUGGGAUUGGCUAGUAGGUGGGGUAACGGCACACAAAGGUGAGGAUCCCUAGCGGGUCUGAGAGGAUGACAAGCCACACUGGAACGUAGACACGGUCCAGACUCCUACGGGAGGCAGCAGUGGGGAAGAUUGGACAAUGGGCGCAAGCAUGAUGCAGCCAUGCCGCGUUGUUGAAGAAGGCCUUCGGAUUGUAAAGUACUUUCAGCGAGGAGGCGUUACUCGCAGAAGAAGCACCGGCUAACUCCGUGCCAGCAGCCGCGGUAAUUC
rnacentral:rRNA from 1 species